rnacentral:rRNA from 1 species
AGUGAACGCUGGCGGUAGGCCUAACACAUGCAAGUCGAACGGCAGCACAGUAAGAGCUUGCUCUUACGGGUGGCGAGUGGCGGACGGGUGAGGAAUACAUCGGAAUCUACUUUUUCGUGGGGGAUAACGUAGGGAAACUUACGCUAAUACCGCAUACGACCUACGGGUGAAAGCAUGGGAUCUUCGGACCUUGCGCGAUUGAAUGAGCCGAUGUCGGAUUAGCUAGUUGGCGGGGUAAAGGCCCACCAAGGCGACGAUCCGUAGCUGGUCUGAGAGGAUGAGCAGCCACACUGGAACUGAGACACGGUCCAGACUCCUACGGGAGGCAGCAGUGGGGAAUAUUGGACAAUGGGCGCAAGCCUGAUCCAGCCAUACCGCGUGGGUGAAGAAGGCCUUCGGGUUGUAAAGCCCUUUUGUUGGGAAAGAAAAGCAGCAGGUUAAUACCCCGCUGUUCUGACGGUACCCAAAGAAUAAGCACCGGCUAACUUCGUG